UGAGACAUGGUAAGUUACGCUUUGCUCUUGUUACUCUUUUUUUACAUUAGAAAUAUGUAUCUAAUUCAAUCAGGACAAUUUAUUUAGAAACUGUGCAACGCCGUCCUUCCAACUCUGCUCAUUGUAUUAUUACUAUACAAAGGUAAUAAUGCGUUGGAAAAUCAAAAUGAAUCGCCAGAAAAAUCUUUGAAAAAUAACAAGAAUCCACUCGAAAAUAUAUUAUUUUAUAAUAGACAAAAUACGACAGAACAGGGUUCGAUUAGACGAGUGAAACGCCAGUUUUAUCCGUACUAUGCAGAUAUUUAUCAUCGUCCUCGGCCGUUACCAAUCAUUUUGGUAGGAGGUGGUUUUACUACCUUUGGAAGAGGUUUAGCUUUCGGCGGUACAGGAAUCGGCAGGUUUGGUGGAAGAGGUUUUGGUGCAAGAGGAUUCGGCGGAAGGGGUUUCGGUGGCUUUGGAGGCCGAGGCUUUGGUGGUGGACGGGGUGGUAGAGGAUGAACUCAUCGUUAAAUAAAC